rnacentral:rRNA from 1 species
AGGACGAACGCUGGCGGCGCGCUUAACACAUGCAAGUCGAGCGAGAACCGGGACUUCGGUCCCGGGGACAGCGGCGAACGGGUGAGUAACACGUGGGUAAUCAACCCUCGGCACCGGGAUAGCCCGAGGAAACUCGGAUUAAUACCGGAUAGCCCCUCCGACUCUCGAGUCGGUCGGGAAAGGUAGCUUAGGCCUCUGGCCGGGGACGAGCCCGCGGCGGAUUAGCUUGUUGGUGGGGUAAUGGCCUACCAAGGCAACGAUCCGUAGC